GCUGCUCGCGCCUAUGAUGCAGAAGCCCGAAAGAUCCGUGGCAAGAAGGCGAAGGUAAACUUCCCUAAUGAGACACCAAUCUCGAAACCCGUCUCUCUACCAACAGCAAACCCAGUGGUGGAACCCGUGCCAAACCAGUCCUUUAAUUACAUUGACGACAGUGCUUUCCUGUCGGGGAUCCUGGAAGAGAAGGAGCAGCAGCCCAUUAAGCAAUCCAAUCUCCUGAAUCUGCACCCUGCUGUCAAGUCUUUCAUGCCAUAUGGAGGAGCGGGGAUGAGUUUCCAGUCUGAUCAGGGAAGUAACUCUUUGGACUAUUCGAACUUUGGCUGGGAACACGAGGUGAAGGCUGCUGAUAUCACCUCAGUUCUUUCUUCGACAAUGGAAUCCGAGCUCUUCCAGGUUGCUGCUCCAGCAAAGAAAAUGAAGAAUAAUGGGGUCGGUGUGGGUGCUGUGGAGAAUGUGGCUGCUGUGGACAACAAUACUCUCAAUUUCGAUGGCGAAUUUCCUGGCAUUGAUACAUUUAUGUUUGAUCAAAUCCCUUGCUUCGAAGGCAACUCAGAUGAGUCAAUUGACUUUACAUUCACCAACGAAGCGGCCCAGGAUGGUGCGAGUGCAUUCCCUGAGAUGGAGCGACUCUGGUUCGAGGACCUGGGUGGUGCCUUCUGAGCGAUAUCUGUUUCUGGUGGCAAGCUUUUGUGAAUAAAAUAAAAUGAAUUGGGAAAUAUGGAGAGUCGGAGGUGUCUGCUGUGAAUCUGUGAUGUUGUUUCGCCAGUCUUUA
rnacentral:misc_RNA from 1 species